GUGAAUUCAUUAUUUUAAAAAUGUUGGCGGGUCCAAAAUCAAUGUUUUGUUCAUCUUUGUGGAAGAUAUCUGACGUUUGGUUCCCACUUCUAACAAGGUUUGUGAGCCGAUAGUAAAACGAUGUUGGUAUCACGUGGUAUCUCUGGGUCAUCAGCAUUCAGGUUGC